rnacentral:rRNA from 1 species
CCUGGUUGAUCCUGCCAGUAGCAUAUGCUUGUCUCAAAGAUUAAGCCAUGCAUGUCUAAGUACACACGGCCGGUACAGUGAAACUGCGACAGGCUCAUUAAAUCAGUUAUGGUUCCAGUGAUUGUUCCAAACGUUACUUGGGUAACUGUGGUAAUACUUGCUAAUACUUGCAAAUGAGUGCAGACCCGCGUGGAGGUGCGUGUAUUUAUCAGACCAAAACCAAUCAGGGCCUGCCCGGCCGCUUUGGUGACUCUGAAUAACCUCGGGCCGAUCGCGCAUCCUCAUGAUGGUGACGACUCAUUCGAAUGUCUGCUCUACCAACUGUCAAUGGUACUUUCUGUGCCUGCCAUGGUGACCAUGGGUAACGAGGAAUCAGGGUUCAAUUCCGGAGAGGUAGCCUGGGAAACGGCUACCACAUUCAAGGAAGGCAGCAGGCACACAAAUUACACACUCCCAACUCGGGGAGGUAGUGACGAAAACUAACAAUACAGGACUCUUUCGAGGACCUGUAAUUGGAAUGAGUACACUUUAAAUCCUUUAACGAGGAUUCAUUGGAGGGCAAGUCUGGUGCCAGCAGCCGCGGUAAUUCCAGUUCCAAUAGCGUAUAUUAAAGCUGCUGUAGUUAAAAGCCCGUAGUUGGAUUUUGGGAUCGAGCUGGCGGGCCGCCGGGAGGCGAGCCACCACCUGAUCCAACCCCCGCCUCUCGGCGCUCCCUUGAUGCUUUUAGCUGAGAGUCCUGGAGGUCUGAAGAGUUUACGUUGAAAAAAUUAGAGUGUUCAAAGCAGGCCUGUCACCUGAAUACUCCAGCUAGGAAUAAUGGUUCUAUUUUGUUGGUUUUCGGAACUGAGGCCAUGAUUAAGAGGGACGGCCGGGAGUAUUCGUAUUAUGCCGCUAGAGGUGAAAUUCUUGGACCGGCGCGAGACGAAAUAAAGCAAAAGUAUUUGCCAAGAAUGUUUUCAUUAAUCAUGAACGAAUGUCGGAGGUUCGAAAAUGAUCAGAUACCGUUGUAGUUCCGACCAUAAACGAUGCCGACUAGCGAUCCGGUGGCGUUAUUCCCAUGACCCGCUGAGCAGCUUCCGGAAAACCAAAGUCUUCGGGUUCCGGGGGCAAGCAUGGUUGCAAAGCUGAAACUAAAAAAAAUGAAAUCAUUUGAAAUUGUAAACUACAAAAAUCAAAGGAAUAUUCAACUCAUAUCUCCCUAUAUCUCCCUGAUAAAUGAGCAACCAACAAUUGUGCAUCAAGGGGACCUUAGCUGCCCUAUUGACACCUAAGAAUGCUAGAAAACAGAAAGGUGCACAAAGAGUGCACCACCAUACCCAUCUGCAACAGGCACGGGAUUGCUUAAGCCUGCCAAGUAGGCCCUAUGCAGGUUGUAGGAGCUGGAUUGCAAAAUUCAUGUAAAGAUGAGCAGAAUUUAGGGCACGGUGGCACAGUGGUUAGCACUACUGCCUCACGCCGCCGAGGUCCCAGGUUCAAUUCCGGCUCUAGGUCACUGUCCGAGUGGAGUUUGCACAUUCUCCCCGUGUUUGCAUGGGUUUCGUCCCCACAACCCAAAGAUGUGCAGGGUAGGUGGAUUGGCCACGCUAAAUUGUCCCUCAAUCGGAAAAAUGUAUUGGGUACUCUAAAUUCAAAAAAAACAACUGUUUAAAAAGAUAAAAAAGAAAAUAAAGAUGAGCAGAAUGUGUGCCUUGUUAUGCGCUGACAGCAUUGAAAUGCUGUUUCGGGCCUUCAGCCAGCAUGCACCUGCACAUGGAGCAUUUGAUUCACUCACUGCGGGCACA